rnacentral:rRNA from 1 species
CCUACGGGAGGCAGCAGUGGGGAAUAUUGCGCAAUGGGCGAAAGCCUGACGCAGCGACGCCGCGUGAGGGAUGAAGGUCUUCGGAUCGUAAACCUCUGUCAGCAGGGAGGAACGGUCACUGUGCUAAUCAGCAGUGAAUUGACGGUACCUGCAAAGGAAGCACCGGCUAACUCCGUGCCAGCAGCCGCGGUAAUACGGAGGGUGCGAGCGUUAAUCGGAAUUACUGGGCGUAAAGGGUGCGUAGGUGGUUUGACAAGUUAGUAGCGAAACUCCGGAGCUCAACUUCGGAACUACUACUAAAACUGUUGGACUUGAGUGCAGGAGGGGCAAUCGGAAUUCCUGGUGUAGCGGUGGAAUGCGUAGAUAUUAGGAGGAACACCAGUGGCGAAGGCGGAUUGCUAGACUGUAACUGACACUGAGGCACGAAAGCGUGGGGAGCAAACAGGAUUAGAUACCCUUGUAGUC